CACAUGCCUUGACUGAUCACAUCUGCAUUUGGUAUGAGUGGAAGACCGUGACGUAUCUCCUUUAAUUCUGUAAACUUACUCUGUAUAAUACACUGUGAACAUGCUGCUAUUCUACCUGUGAGUGGUGUGGGCACACAAGUCCAUAAUGUUGAUGUAACGAAUAUAUACGACUAUAUGUAUGAAUUAUAUACUACAAUAAUAUAGCGUAGGUAUGAGUUGUACAAGGUUGUAGUAACAGGUGAGUAUGUAACUGAUUCAGUCUCUUACUGGAAGCAAGUAAUGUCCUAAUUCUGGAAACAGAUUGUUUGGAAAGUCUACACUAAAUCAGAGGUACGUAUAGGCCAAUCAGAAGAAAAACCAGGAUCGCAACUGAGCUUGGACAGUUACCCAAAAUGACUCUGCACUCUGUGGAUUGGAAGUGCGUUGACUCCCUUUUAAUAUAAAAAACAGGUAAGUAAAGAAAACCAACAAAACAAAAACAAAACUCAAUAUUAUUACUACUACCUGGGUAGAAAAUAAAUUAUUGACUUAAGUGUACCCUGUAGCAAGUCAUAAGUGUGAACUUAAAGUAAAGUGAUAACAGUUCACUAUUUAGAUAAUGAAUCCAAGCUUUCAAAUGACAAUACACAGUUUAUGUAUGUAUUUGUAUUAAUGGAUGUCUUUGUGUCACACAGCAUAUGGAACCUUUUGGAACGUCCAGUCCGUGGAGAGUGCAAAUUGGUGCUCCACCUUGUGGACAGGAGCUCUACAGUGUCCUUCACUGUUAAAGCCAUGUUUACCUCAGUCCAGCAGAACUGUCCUCCCCUCUGAACUGAACUGGACGGUCCAUUGACUCAUCACUCUUCUUGGACUCACAGCUGGGGUCAGGUGAGUCUGGCCUCUUCCUCUGAAUCAGACUAAAACAUUCCAGUAGGGAAAAUCAUGUUACAGUCAUGCAGAGGGUAAAUUGUGGAAUUUGGUUAAAGUUUAAU
ensembl:lncRNA